UAAUACGUAGGGUGCAAGCGUUAAUCGGAAUUACUGGGCGUAAAGCGUACGCAGGCGGCUUGGUAAGACAGAUGUGAAAUCCCCGGGCUUAACCUGGGAACUGCAUUUGUGACUGCCUGGCUCGAGUCUGUCAGAGGGGGGUGGAAUUCCACGUGUAGCAGUGAAAUGCGUAGAGAUGUGGAGGAACACCGAUGGCGAAGGCAGCCCCCUGGGAUGAGACUGACGCUCAUGUACGAAAGCGUGGGGAGCAAACAGG
rnacentral:rRNA from 1 species